AGAAGCAGCCAUCAUUUAAAGAAAGCGUAAUAGCUCACUGGUCGAGUCGGCCUGCGCGGAAGAUGUAACGGGGCUAAACCAUGCACCGAAGCUGCGGCAGCGACGCUGAUGCGUUGUUGGGUAGGGGAGCGUUCUGUAAGCCUGCGAAGGUGUGCUGUGAGGCAUGCUGGAGGUAUCAGAAGUGCGAAUGCUGACAUAAGUAACGAUAAAGCGGGUGAAAAGCCCGCUCGCCGGAAGACCAAGGGUUCCUGUCCAACGUUAAUCGGGGCAGGGUGAGUCGACCCCUAAGGCGAGGCCGAAAGGCGUAGUCGAUGGGAAACAGGUUAAUAUUCCUGUACUUGGUGUUACUGCGAAGGGGGGACGGAGAAGGCUAUGUUGGCCGGGCGACGGUUGUCCCGGUUUAAGCGUGUAGGCUGGUUUUCCAGGCAAAUCCGGAAAAUCAAGGCUGAGGCGUGAUGACGAGGCACUACGGUGCUGAAGCAACAAAUGCCCUGCUUCCAGGAAAAGCCUCUAAGCAUCAGGUAACAUCAAAUCGUACCCCAAACCGACACAGGUGGUCAGGUAGAGAAUACCAAGGCGCUUGAGAGAACUCGGGUGAAGGAACUAGGCAAAAUGGUGCCGUAACUUCGGGAGAAGGCACGCUGAUAUGUAGGUGAAG
rnacentral:rRNA from 1 species